rnacentral:rRNA from 1 species
GUGGGGAAUCUUGCACAAUGGGCGAAAGCCUGAUGCAGCGACGCCGCGUGGAGGAUGAAGGCCUUCGGGUUGUAAACUCCUUUUGUAGGGGACAAUAAUGAUGGUACCCUAUGAAUAAGCCACGGCUAACUCUGUGCCAGCAGCCGCGGUAAGACAGAGGUGGCGAGCGUUGUUCGGAAUUACUGGGCUUAAAGGGCGCGUAGGCGGUGGAGUAAGUCUGAGGUGGAAUGCCACAGCCCAACUGUGGAACUGCCUUGGAAACUGCCUCACUUGAGUUAGACAGGGGAAGGCGGAAUUCCUGGUGUAGCGGUGAAAUGCGUAGAUAUCAGGAGGAAGGCCAGUGGUGAAGACGGCCUUCUGGGUCUUAACUGACGCUGAGGCGCGAAAGCGUGGGGAGCAAACAGGAUUAGAAACCCCAGUAGUCC